CCUACGGGAGGCAGCAGUGGGGAAUAUUGGACAAUGGGGGCAACCCUGAUCCAGCCAUGCCGCGUGUGUGAAGAAGGCCCUCGGGUUGUAAAGCACUUUCAGUGAGGAAGAACGCCUGGUGGUUAAUACCCAUCAGGAAAGACAUCACUCACAGAAGAAGCACCGGCUAACUCCGUGCCAGCAGCCGCGGUAAUACGGAGGGGGCGAGCGUUAAUCGGAAUUACUGGGCGUAAAGCGCGCGUAGGUGGCUUGAUAAGCCGGUUGUGAAAGCCCCGGGCUCAACCUGGGAACGGCAUCCGGAACUGUCAAGCUAGAGUGCAGGAGAGGAAGGUAGAAUUCCCGGUGUAGCGGUGAAAUGCGUAGAGAUCGGGAGGAAUACCAGUGGCGAAGGCGGCCUUCUGGACUGACACUGACACUGAGGUGCGAAAGCGUGGGUAGCAAACAGGAUUAGAUACCCUAGUAGUC
rnacentral:rRNA from 1 species